rnacentral:tRNA from 1 species
GCGGCAUUAGUGUAACGGCAGCACGCAAGAUUUCAGAUCUUGAAAGUAAGACACCACUCUUAUGGUGCCGGUUCGACUCCGGCAUGCCGCUCUA